rnacentral:rRNA from 1 species
UACGUAGGGUCCGAGCGUUGUCCGGAAUUACUGGGCGUAAAGAGCUCGUAGGUGGUUUGUCGCGUUGUUCGUGAAAACUCACAGCUCAACUGUGGGCGUGCGGGCGAUACGGGCAGACUUGAGUACUGCAGGGGAGACCGGAAUUCCUGGUGUAGCGGUGGAAUGCGCAGAUAUCAGGAGGAACACCAGUGGCGAAGGCGGCACUCUGGGCCGGUACUGACGCUGAGGAGCGAAAGCGUGGGGAGCGAACAGG